GAUGAACGCUGGCGGCGUGCCUAAUACAUGCAAGUCGAGCGAACGGACGAGAAGCUUGCUUCUCUGAUGUUAGCGGCGGACGGGUGAGUAACACGUGGAUAACCUACCUAUAAGACUGGGAUAACUUCGGGAAACCGGAGCUAAUACCGGAUAAUAUUUUGAACCGCAUGGUUCAAAAGUGAAAGACGGUCUUGCUGUCACUUAUAGAUGGAUCCGCGCUGCAUUAGCUAGUUGGUAAGGUAACGGCUUACCAAGGCAACGAUGCAUAGCCGACCUGAGAGGGUGAUCGGCCACACUGGAACUGAGACACGGUCCAGACUCCUACGGGAGGCAGCAGUAGGGAAUCUUCCGCAAUGGGCGAAAGCCUGACGGAGCAACGCCGCGUGAGUGAUGAAGGUCUUCGGAUCGUAAAACUCUGUUAUUAGGGAAGAACAUAUGUGUAAGUAACUGUGCACAUCUUGACGGUACCUAAUCAGAAAGCCACGGCUAACUACGUGCCAGCAGCCGCGGUAAUACGUAGGUGGCAAGCGUUAUCCGGAAAUAUUGGGCGUAAAGCGCGCGUAGGCGGUUUUUUAAGUCUGAUGUGAAAGCCCACGGCUCAACCGUGGAGGGUCAUUGGAAACUGGAAAACUUGAGUGCAGAAGAGGAAAGUGGAAUUCCAUGUGUAGCGGUGAAAUGCGCAGAGAUAUGGAGGAACACCAAUGGCGAAGGCGACUUUCUGGUCUGUAACUGACGCUGAUGUGCGAAAGCGUGGGGAUCAAACAGGAUUAGAUACCCUGGUAGUCCACGCCGUAAACGAUGAGUGCUAAGUGUUAGGGGGUUUCCGCCCCUUAGUGCUGCAGCUAACGCAUUAAGCACUCCGCCUGGGGAGUACGACCGCAAGGUUGAAACUCAAAGGAAUUGACGGGGACCCGCACAAGCGGUGGAGCAUGUGGUUUAAUUCGAAGCAACGCGAAGAACCUUACCAAAUCUUGACAUCCUUUGACAACUCUAGAGAUAGAGCCUUCCCCUUCGGGGGACAAAGUGACAGGUGGUGCAUGGUUGUCGUCAGCUCGUGUCGUGAGAUGUUGGGUUAAGUCCCGCAACGAGCGCAACCCUUAAGCUUAGUUGCCAUCAUUAAGUUGGGCACUCUAAGUUGACUGCCGGUGACAAACCGGAGGAAGGUGGGGAUGACGUCAAAUCAUCAUGCCCCUUAUGAUUUGGGCUACACACGUGCUACAAUGGACAAUACAAAGGGCAGCGAAACCGCGAGGUCAAGCAAAUCCCAUAAAGUUGUUCUCAGUUCGGAUUGUAGUCUGCAACUCGACUACAUGAAGCUGGAAUCGCUAGUAAUCGUAGAUCAGCAUGCUACGGUGAAUACGUUCCCGGGUCU
rnacentral:rRNA from 1 species